UCAAGACCAGCCUGGCCAACAGGGUCUGGAGUGGACCUCCAGCAGUCCUGCAGCAGAGGAGCCUGUCUGUUAGAAGGAAAACUAAAAAACAGAAAGAAAUAUCAACAGAAAGGACAUCCACUCAGAGACCCCAUCUGAAAGUCACCAACUACAAAGGUAGAUAAAUCCACGAAGAUGGGAAGAAAUCAGCUCACCUCCUCUCCUCCAAGGGAUCAAAACUCCUCACCAGCAAGGGAACAAAACUGGAGGGAGAAUGAGUUUGAUGAACUGACAGAAGAAGGCGUCAGUAGGUGGGUAACAACAAACUUCUCUGAGCUAAAAGAGCAUGUUCUAACCCAAUACAAAGGAACUAAGAACUUUGAAAAAAGUUUAGACGAAAUGCUAACUAGAAUAACCAGCUUAGAGAGGAACAUAAGCGACUUAAUGGAGUCGAAAAACACAGCACAAGAACUUCGUGAAGCAUACACAAGUUUCCACAGCCGAAUAAAUCAAGCACAAGAAAGGAUAUGAGAGACUGAAGAUCAACUCAAUGAAAUAAAACAAGAAGGCAAGAUUAGAGAAAAAAGAGUGAAAAGAAAUGAACAAAUCCUCCAAGAAAUAUGAAAUUAUGUGAAAACACCUAAUCUAUGUUUGAUCAGUAUACCUGAAUGUGAUGGAGAGAAUGAAACCAAGCUGGAAAACACUCUUCAGGAUAUUAUCCAGGAGAACUUUCCUAAUGUAGCAGCAAGGCAGGCCAACAUUCAAAUUCAGAAAAUACAGAGACCACCACAAAGAUAUUCCUCAAGAAGAGCAACCCCAAGGCACAUAAUCAUCAGAUUCACCAGGGUUAAAAUGAAGGAAAAAAUGCUAAGGGAAGCCAGAGAGAAAGGUUGGGUACCCACAAAAGGAAGCCCAUCAGACUCACAGAGGAUCUUUCAGCAGAAACCCUAGAAACCAGAAGAGAGUCAGGACAAAAAUUCAACAUCCUUAAAGAAAAUAUCUUUCAACCCAGAAUUUCAUAUCCAGCCAAACUAAGCUUCAUAAGUGAAGGAGAAAUAAAAUCCUUUACGGACAAGAAAUUGCUGAGAGAUUUUGUCACCACCAGGCCUGCUUUACAAGAGCUCCUGAAAGAAGCACUAAACAUGGAGAGGAACGACCAGCCACUGCAAAAACAUACCAAAUGGUAAAGAGCAUCAACAAAAUGAAGAAACUGCAUCAACUAAUAGGCAAAACCACCAACUAGUAUCAAAAUGGCAGGAUCAAAUUCACACAUAACAGUAUUAACCUUAAAUGUAAAUAGGCUAAAUGCCCCAAUCCAAAGACACAGACGGGCAAACUGGAUAAAGAGUCAAAACCCAUCGGUGUGCUGUAUUGAGAAGACCCAUCUCACGUGCAAAGACAUACAAAGACUCAAAAUAAAGGGAUGGAGGAAGAUUUACCAAGCAAAUGGAAAGCAAAAAAAAAAGCAAGGGUUGCAAUCCUAGUCUCUGAUAAAAUGGACUUUAAACCAACAAAGAUCAAGAGACAAGCGCAUAAUGGUAAAAGGAUCAAUCCAACAAGAAGAGCUAACUAUCCUAAAUAUAUAUACACCUAAUACAGGAGCACCCAGAUACAUAAAGCAAGUGCUUAACGACCUACAAAGAGACUUGGAGUCCCACACAGUAAUAGUGGGAGAAUUUAACACUCCAAUGUCGAUAUUAGACAGAUCGACGAGACAGAAAAUUAACAAAGAUAUCCAGGACUUGACCAAGCAGACCUAAUAGACAUCUACAGAACUCUCUAUCCUGGGAGCUGCCACCACCGCCACCGCGGAUUCCAGAGCCCGGGUAGCUGCUACCGCCGCCGCUGCAGCCACUGCAGGCAGUGCCGCCGCCACCGCCUGAGCAGUGGGCUUGGGAAGGAAGCAGUCACCUCUGAGCUUAGCUCAGAAGCGUCUUUGUCCCUUGCAGCCCUCCUACGGCAGUCUCCAAAGAUUUGGGCCACAACAAAAAGUGCAUUUUGCCCAUUUGGCCAUGGAUAGAGAAAAAGGAAGAGCACUGGACUUGGAGUCAGGAAUGACAAUGGAUAAAAGUGAGCUGGUACAGAAAGCCAAACUCACUGAGCAGGCUGAGCGCUAUGAUGAUAUGGCUGUAGCCAUGAAGGCAAACACAGAACAGGGGCAUGAACUCUCCAAGGAAGAGAGAAAGCUGCUCUCUGCUGCCUACAAGAAUGUGGUAGGUGCCCGCCACUCUUCCUGGCAUGUCAUCUCCAGCAUUGAGCAGAAAACAGAGAGAAAUGAGAAGCAGCAGCAGAGUACCGUGAGAAGAUAGAGGCGGAAUUGCAGGACAUCUGCAAUGACGUUCUGGAGCUGUUGGACAAAUACCUUACUCCCAAUGCUACACAACCAGAAAGUAAGGUGUUCUACUUGAAAAUGAAAGGAGAGGCCGGACGCGAUUAUUUCAGGUAUCUUUCUGAAGUGGCAUGUGGAGACAACAAACAAACCACUGUGCCGAAUUCCCAGCAGGCUUACCAGGAAGCAUUUGAAAUUAGGAAGAAAGAAAUGCAGCCUACACACCCAAUUCGACUUGGUCUGGCACUUAAUUUCUCAGUCUUUUACUAUGAGAUUCUCAACUCUCCUGAAAAGGCCUGCAGCCUGGCAAAAACGGCAUCUGAUGAAGCAAUUGCCGAAUUGGAUACACUGAAUGAAGAGUCUCAUAAAGACAGCACUCUGAUCAUGCAGUUACUUAGGGACAAUCUCACUCUGCGGACAUUGGAAAACCAGGGAGACGAAGGAGACGCUGGGGAGGGAGAGAACUAAUGUUUCUCAUGCUUCGUGAUCUGUUCAGUGUCACUCUGUACCCUCCACACAUAUUCCUUGUGCAAUAAAA